GCUGGUGUGGCUCAAUGGCAGAGCAGCGGUAUCGUAAACCGCAGGUUGUGGGUUCGAUUCCCACCACCAGCU
rnacentral:tRNA from 1 species